rnacentral:rRNA from 1 species
AUUCCAGCUCCAAGAGCGUAUAUUAAAGUUGUUGCAGUUAAAAAGCUCGUAGUUGAACCUUGGGAAGGCCGCGCCGGUCCGCCUUUUGGCGAGCACUGGAGGCAGCCUUCCUUUCCUCUGCCAUCCCCUCGGGGCGGGCAGACUAUUACUUUGAGUAAAUGAGAGUGUUCAAAGCAGGCGCACGCUUGAAUCUGUUAGCAUGGAAUAAUAGAAUAGGACGCAUGGUUCUAUUUUGUUGGUUUCUAGGACCAUCGUAAUGAUUAAUAGGGACGGUCGGGGGCAUCAGUAUUCAGUUGUCAGAGGUGAAAUUCUUGGAUUUACUGAAGACUAACUACUGCGAAAGCAUUUGCCAAGGACGUUUUCAUUG